rnacentral:rRNA from 1 species
UGGGGGAUAUUGCACAAUGGGCGAAAGCCUGAUGCAGCGACGCCGCGUGGGGGAUGAAGGCCUUCGGGUUGUAAACUUCUUUUGCUCUGAACAAGGCAUGCUUUUGGGGUGUGUUGAGUGUAGGGGUUGAUUAGCGCCGGCUAACUACGUGCCAGUAGCCGCGGUAAUACGUAGGGCGCGAGCGUUGUCCGGAAUUAUUGGGCGUAAAGGGCUUGUAGGUGGCUGGUUGCGUCUGUCGUGAAAGCUCAUGGCUUAACUGUGGGUUUGCGGUGGGUACGGGCUGGCUUGAGUGCAGUAGGGGAGGCUGGAAUUCCUGGUGUAGCGGUGGAAUGCGCAGAUAUCAGGAGGAAUACCGGUGGCGAAGGCGGGUCUCUGGGCUGUUACUGACGCUGAGGAGCGAAAGCGUGGGGAGCGAACAGG